UUAAGCGACUAAGCGUACACGGUGGAUGCCCUGGCAGUCAGAGGCGAUGAAGGACGUGCUAAUCUGCGAUAAGCGUCGGUAAGGUGAUAUGAACCGUUAUAACCGGCGAUUUCCGAAUGGGGAAACCCAGUGUGUUUCGACACACUAUCAUUAACUGAAUCCAUAGGUUAAUGAGGCGAACCGGGGGAACUGAAACAUCUAAGUACCCCGAGGAAAAGAAAUCAACCGAGAUUCCCCCAGUAGCGGCGAGCGAACGGGGAGCAGCCCAGAGCCUGAAUCAGUGUGUGUGUUAGUGGAAGCGUCUGGAAAGGCGUGCGAUACAGGGUGACAGCCCCGUACACAAAAAUGCACAUGCUGUGAGCUCGAUGAGUAGGGCGGGACACGUGGUAUCCUGUCUGAAUAUGGGGGGACCAUCCUCCAAGGCUAAAUACUCCUGACUGACCGAUAGUGAACCAGUACCGUGAGGGAAAGGCGAAAAGAACCCCGGCGAGGGGAGUGAAAAAGAACCUGAAACCGUGUACGUACAAGCAGUGGGAGCACGCUUAGGCGUGUGACUGCGUACCUUUUGUAUAAUGGGUCAGCGACUUAUAUUCUGUAGCAAGGUUAACCGAAUAGGGGAGCCGAAGGGAAACCGAGUCUUAACUGGGCGUUAAGUUGCAGGGUAUAGACCCGAAACCCGGUGAUCUAGCCAUGGGCAGGUUGAAGGUUGGGUAACACUAACUGGAGGACCGAACCGACUAAUGUUGAAAAAUUAGCGGAUGACUUGUGGCUGGGGGUGAAAGGCCAAUCAAACCGGGAGAUAGCUGGUUCUCCCCGAAAGCUAUUUAGGUAGCGCCUCGUGAAUUCAUCUCCGGGGGUAGAGCACUGUUUCGGCAAGGGGGUCAUCCCGACUUACCAACCCGAUGCAAACUGCGAAUACCGGAGAAUGUUAUCACGGGAGACACACGGCGGGUGCUAACGUCCGUCGUGAAGAGGGAAACAACCCAGACCGCCAGCUAAGGUCCCAAAGUCAUGGUUAAGUGGGAAACGAUGUGGGAAGGCCCAGACAGCCAGGAUGUUGGCUUAGAAGCAGCCAUCAUUUAAAGAAAGCGUAAUAGCUCACUGGUCGAGUCGGCCUGCGCGGAAGAUGUAACGGGGCUAAACCAUGCACCGAAGCUGCGGCAGCGACACUAUGUGUUGUUGGGUAGGGGAGCGUUCUGUAAGCCUGUGAAGGUGUACUGUGAGGUAUGCUGGAGGUAUCAGAAGUGCGAAUGCUGACAUAAGUAACGAUAAAGCGGGUGAAAAGCCCGCUCGCCGGAAGACCAAGGGUUCCUGUCCAACGUUAAUCGGGGCAGGGUGAGUCGACCCCUAAGGCGAGGCCGAAAGGCGUAGUCGAUGGGAAACAGGUUAAUAUUCCUGUACUUGGUGUUACUGCGAAGGGGGGACGGAGAAGGCUAUGUUGGCCGGGCGACGGUUGUCCCGGUUUAAGCGUGUAGGCUGGUUUUCCAGGCAAAUCCGGAAAAUCAAGGCUGAGGCGUGAUGACGAGGCACUACGGUGCUGAAGCAACAAAUGCCCUGCUUCCAGGAAAAGCCUCUAAGCAUCAGGUAACAUCAAAUCGUACCCCAAACCGACACAGGUGGUCAGGUAGAGAAUACCAAGGCGCUUGAGAGAACUCGGGUGAAGGAACUAGGCAAAAUGGUGCCGUAACUUCGGGAGAAGGCACGCUGAUAUGUAGGUGAAGUCCCUCGCGGAUGGAGCUGAAAUCAGUCGAAGAUACCAGCUGGCUGCAACUGUUUAUUAAAAACACAGCACUGUGCAAACACGAAAGUGGACGUAUACGGUGUGACGCCUGCCCGGUGCCGGAAGGUUAAUUGAUGGGGUCAGCGCAAGCGAAGCUCUUGAUCGAAGCCCCGGUAAACGGCGGCCGUAACUAUAACGGUCCUAAGGUAGCGAAAUUCCUUGUCGGGUAAGUUCCGACCUGCACGAAUGGCGUAAUGAUGGCCAGGCUGUCUCCACCCGAGACUCAGUGAAAUUGAACUCGCUGUGAAGAUGCAGUGUACCCGCGGCAAGACGGAAAGACCCCGUGAACCUUUACUAUAGCUUGACACUGAACAUUGAGCCUUGAUGUGUAGGAUAGGUGGGAGGCUUUGAAGUGUGGACGCCAGUCUGCAUGGAGCCGACCUUGAAAUACCACCCUUUAAUGUUUGAUGUUCUAACGUUGACCCGUGAUCCGGGUUGCGGACAGUGUCUGGUGGGUAGUUUGACUGGGGCGGUCUCCUCCUAAAGAGUAACGGAGGAGCACGAAGGUUGGCUAAUCCUGGUCGGACAUCAGGAGGUUAGUGCAAUGGCAUAAGCCAGCUUGACUGCGAGCGUGACGGCGCGAGCAGGUGCGAAAGCAGGUCAUAGUGAUCCGGUGGUUCUGAAUGGAAGGGCCAUCGCUCAACGGAUAAAAGGUACUCCGGGGAUAACAGGCUGAUACCGCCCAAGAGUUCAUAUCGACGGCGGUGUUUGGCACCUCGAUGUCGGCUCAUCACAUCCUGGGGCUGAAGUAGGUCCCAAGGGUAUGGCUGUUCGCCAUUUAAAGUGGUACGCGAGCUGGGUUUAGAACGUCGUGAGACAGUUCGGUCCCUAUCUGCCGUGGGCGCUGGAGAACUGAGGGGGGCUGCUCCUAGUACGAGAGGACCGGAGUGGACGCAUCACUGGUGUUCGGGUUGUCAUGCCAAUGGCACUGCCCGGUAGCUAAAUGCGGAAGAGAUAAGUGCUGAAAGCAUCUAAGCACGAAACUUGCCCCGAGAUGAGUUCUCCCUGACUCCUUGAGAGUCCUGAAGGAACGUUGAAGACGACGACGUUGAUAGGCCGGGUGUGUAAGCGCAGCGAUGCGUUGAGCUAACCGGUACUAAUGAACCGUGAGGCUUAACCUU
rnacentral:rRNA from 1 species